GCCCGGGUGGCGGAACUGGUAGACGCGUCGGACUCAAAAUCCGAUUCUGGUGACAGAGUGCGAGUUCGAGUCUCGCCCCGGGCACCA
rnacentral:tRNA from 2 species